rnacentral:lncRNA from 1 species
AUGAGAAGGGACUGGAGAGGAGGAGGAAAGGGAGAAAGGAAUGGAAGGAAUGGAAACGAAAAUGAAGAAUUUUCAGAAGCUCCAGUGAGAGGCUUCGGAAUAAUACAUCAGAAAAGUGAUGGAAAACAAGUGUCUCCCACGCCAUAAAAUUAUGGUAACAUAAAAUACAUUGUGAAGUCAUCCUCUGGACAUCAAUGAAAAAUAUAUCAAAAUGUCUGUAGGUGUUUUAUGUUGUUUAUCCUGCCAGAAACACAUCCUCCCAUAAACUACAAAAAUG